CCUACGGGAGGCUGCAGUGAGGAAUAUUGGUCAAUGGACGAGAGUCUGAACCAGCCAAGCCGCGUGAAGGAUGACUGCCCUAUGGGUUGUAAACCUCUUUUAUAUGGGAAUAAAAGAGGGUAUGCAUCCCCUCAUGUAUGUACCAUAUGAAUAAGGAUCGGCUAACUCCGUGCCAGCAGCCGCGGUAAUACGGAGGAUCCGAGCGUUAUCCGGAUUUAUUGGGUUUAAAGGGUGCGUAGGUGGGUUGUUAAGUCAGUUGUGAAAGGUUGCGGCUUAACCGUAGAAUUGCAGUUGAAACUGGCAGUCUUGAGUACGGUAGAGGUAGGCGGAAUUCGUGGUGUAGCGGUGAAAUGCUUAGAUAUCACGAAGAACUCCGAUUGCGAAGGCAGCUCACUGGACUGCAACUGACACUGAUGCACGAAAGUGUGGGUAUCAAACAGGAUUAGAUACCCUAGUAGUC
rnacentral:rRNA from 1 species